rnacentral:rRNA from 1 species
AAACCAGCACCUCAAGUGGUCAGGAGGUUUAUUGGGCCUAAAGCAUCCGUAGCCUGAUCUAUAAGUUUCCGGUUAAAUCCAUAUGCUCAACAUAUGGGCUGCCGGAAAAACUGUAGAUCUAGGGAGUGGGAGAGGUAGACGGUACUCGGUAGGAAGGGGUAAAAUCCUUUGAUCUAUUGAUGACCACCAGUGGCGAAGGCGGUCUACCAGAACACGUCCGACGGUGAGGGAUGAAAGCUGGGGGAGCAAACCGGAUUAGAUACCCCGGGUAGUCC